GGGUUGUGAGGUUAAGCGACUAAGCGUACACGGUGGAUGCCCUGGCAGUCAGAGGCGAUGAAGGACGUGCUAAUCUGCGAAAAGCGUCGGUAAGGUGAUAUGAACCGUUAUAACCGGCGAUGUCCGAAUGGGGAAACCCAGUGCAAUUCGUUGCACUAUCGUUAACUGAAUACAUAGGUUAACGAGGCGAACCGGGGGAACUGAAACAUCUAAGUACCCCGAGGAAAAGAAAUCAACCGAGAUUCCCCCAGUAGCGGCGAGCGAACGGGGAGCAGCCCAGAGUCUGAAUCAGCUUGUGUGUUAGUGGAACGGUCUGGAAAGUCCGACGGUACAGGGUGAUAGUCCCGUACACCAAAAUGCACAGGUUGUGAACUCGAAGAGUAGGGCGGGACACGUGGUAUCCUGUCUGAAUAUGGGGGGACCAUCCUCCAAGGCUAAAUACUCCUGACUGACCGAUAGUGAACCAGUACCGUGAGGGAAAGGCGAAAAGAACCCCGGCGAGGGGAGUGAAAAAGAACCUGAAACCGUGUACGUACAAGCAGUGGGAGCACCUUCGGGUGUGACUGCGUACCUUUUGUAUAAUGGGUCAGCGACUUAUAUUCUGUAGCAAGGUUAACCGUAUAGGGGAGCCGCAGGGAAACCGAGUCUUAACUGGGCGUUAAGUUGCAGGGUAUAGACCCGAAACCCGGUGAUCUAGCCAUGGGCAGGUUGAAGGUUGGGUAACACUAACUGGAGGACCGAACCGACUAAUGUUGAAAAAUUAGCGGAUGACUUGUGGCUGGGGGUGAAAGGCCAAUCAAACCGGGAGAUAGCUGGUUCUCCCCGAAAGCUAUUUAGGUAGCGCCUCGUGAAUUCAUCUUCGGGGGUAGAGCACUGUUUCGGCUAGGGGGUCAUCCCGACUUACCAACCCGAUGCAAACUACGAAUACCGAAGAAUGUUAUCACGGGAGACACACGGCGGGUGCUAACGUCCGUCGUGAAGAGGGAAACAACCCAGACCGCCAGCUAAGGUCCCAAAGUCAUGGUUAAGUGGGAAACGAUGUGGGAAGGCACAGACAGCCAGGAUGUUGGCUUAGAAGCAGCCAUCAUUUAAAGAAAGCGUAAUAGCUCACUGGUCGAGUCGGCCUGCGCGGAAGAUGUAACGGGGCUAAACCAUGCACCGAAGCUGCGGCAGCGACACUAUGUGUUGUUGGGUAGGGGAGCGUUCUGUAAGCCUGCGAAGGUGUGCUGUGAGGCAUGCUGGAGGUAUCAGAAGUGCGAAUGCUGACAUAAGUAACGAUAAAGCGGGUGAAAAGCCCGCUCGCCGGAAGACCAAGGGUUCCUGUCCAACGUUAAUCGGGGCAGGGUGAGUCGACCCCUAAGGCGAGGCCGAAAGGCGUAGUCGAUGGGAAACAGGUUAAUAUUCCUGUACUUGGUGUUACUGCGAAGGGGGGACGGAGAAGGCUAUGUUAGCCGGGCGACGGUUGUCCCGGUUUAAGCAUGUAGGCUGAUUAUCCAGGCAAAUCCGGAUAAUCAAGGCUGAGGUGUGAUGACGAGGCACUACGGUGCUGAAGUAACAAAUGCCCUGCUUCCAGGAAAAGCCUCUAAGCAUCAGGUAACAUCAAAUCGUACCCCAAACCGACACAGGUGGUCAGGUAGAGAAUACCAAGGCGCUUGAGAGAACUCGGGUGAAGGAACUAGGCAAAAUGGUGCCGUAACUUCGGGAGAAGGCACGCUGGUGUGUAGGUGAAGCCCCUGCGGGUGGAGCUGAGACCAGUCGAAGAUACCAGCUGGCUGCAACUGUUUAUUAAAAACACAGCACUGUGCAAACACGAAAGUGGACGUAUACGGUGUGACGCCUGCCCGGUGCCGGAAGGUUAAUUGAUGGGGUUAUCCGUAAGGAGAAGCUCUUGAUCGAAGCCCCGGUAAACGGCGGCCGUAACUAUAACGGUCCUAAGGUAGCGAAAUUCCUUGUCGGGUAAGUUCCGACCUGCACGAAUGGCGUAAUGAUGGCCAGGCUGUCUCCACCCGAGACUCAGUGAAAUUGAACUCGCUGUGAAGAUGCAGUGUACCCGCGGCAAGACGGAAAGACCCCGUGAACCUUUACUAUAGCUUGACACUGAACAUUGAGCCUUGAUGUGUAGGAUAGGUGGGAGGCUUUGAAGCGUGGACGCCAGUCUGCGUGGAGCCAACCUUGAAAUACCACCCUUUAAUGUUUGAUGUUCUAACGUUGGCCCCUUACCGGGGUUGCGGACAGUGUCUGGUGGGUAGUUUGACUGGGGCGGUCUCCUCCCAAAGCGUAACGGAGGAGCACGAAGGUUAGCUAAUCCUGGUCGGACAUCAGGAGGUUAGUGCAAUGGCAUAAGCUAGCUUGACUGCGAGCGUGACGGCGCGAGCAGGUGCGAAAGCAGGUCAUAGUGAUCCGGUGGUUCUGAAUGGAAGGGCCAUCGCUCAACGGAUAAAAGGUACUCCGGGGAUAACAGGCUGAUACCGCCCAAGAGUUCAUAUCGACGGCGGUGUUUGGCACCUCGAUGUCGGCUCAUCACAUCCUGGGGCUGAAGUAGGUCCCAAGGGUAUGGCUGUUCGCCAUUUAAAGUGGUACGCGAGCUGGGUUUAGAACGUCGUGAGACAGUUCGGUCCCUAUCUGCCGUGGGCGCUGGAGAAUUGAGGGGGGCUGCUCCUAGUACGAGAGGACCGGAGUGGACGCAUCACUGGUGUUCGGGUUGUCAUGCCAAUGGCACUGCCCGGUAGCUAAAUGCGGAAGAGAUAAGUGCUGAAAGCAUCUAAGCACGAAACUUGCCCCGAGAUGAGUUCUCCCUGAGACUUUAAGUCUCCUGAAGGAACGUUGAAGACGACGACGUUGAUAGGCCGGGUGUGUAAGCGCAGCGAUGCGUUGAGCUAACCGGUACUAAUGAACCGUGAGGCUUAACCUUACAACGCCGAAG
rnacentral:rRNA from 2 species